AUCAAAUCCCCCUUUGUUCAUGUGCUCGGAACCUAAAUUCCCCUUUUCAAGAUAAAAAUAAAAUAUAGUAAAAUGUGGGACACUUGGGAUUUGUUUAUAAUAAAAACCAGCACCCAUUUAAAAUCAAUUUCCAUUUAGUCUUUGCAAGGUGAUGUAUAUCACUAACACAAAUCCACUUGUCUUUAUUUAACCCUUUAUAUGAUUUACUUGCUUCAGAAGUCAUGAAGAAGGGACAGAUGCUCGGGAGAACACCCAAGCCUCCUGAUGGAGGAAGCCACAGCAUGCAGACGAAUCGCAGAUUAUUACAAGUAUCCACAUAGCUGCUGUGUGACCUUUCAAAUCAAAGCAUUCCAGAAUUACCAUGUUGGAAAUGUCUGAGGCUUUGGCAGCUUGCUGUAUUACAAAUAGUUCAUGAAUACAAUUAACCAUCCCUGAGUAGCCUGCAGCAUCAGCAUCCAAUCCUUGCCUUACUCAUCAGAAAUAUAAUUAUUGUUCCAUAGUAAUUCCACCAAACACUUUUUCAGAUAUUGGCCAUAUUCUCAGUCAGUGAAAAUACUGAAAAUGGAGUUUAUCACAUUAUACUAGCUGACAAUAUGGCCACAGAUUUUGGAAUGACUGUACUGAGAUAGUCAUUCCAUCUUUAUUAAUGUUUUAUAUGAAAUCAAAACUGGAAAAAAAACACAAACAAAAAUGUAUUGAAUUCUUAAAGUAAUCACAUUUAAAGUAUCAUUCUUUUCAUCUAAUGCAUCAGCAUUUUCUUAACAUGAGUUUCUGUUGCAGACCCUAGUAAAAGAAAAGAUCUUUUGUAUCUUAAUGGCUUAUUGUCCUGGCAUUUUGACAUUAUGUUUUAGCUGAUCAAAAAAGCUUUUUAUCUGAUCCUGUACUAAAGAACUGCAAAACAAAAAUAAUGCGUGUUUUCAGCCUUUUCACUAAAAAAAUGAAAUACAUGUCUUGAAAGCUGUGGCAGGUAAGUGAAUCUCUAUGCAUGGUUUAUAGGCUGUAAUAAACUGAUGUUUAUUCUAUGUAUUUUUGUAUAU
rnacentral:lncRNA from 1 species